rnacentral:rRNA from 1 species
UACGAAGGGGGCUAGCGUUGUUCGGAAUUACUGGGCGUAAAGCGCGCGCAGGCGGUCCUUUAAGUCAGGGGUGAAAUCCUGGAGCUCAACUCCAGAACUGCCUUUGAUACUGAGGGGCUCGAGUCCGGGAGAGGUGAGUGGAACUGCGAGUGUAGAGGUGAAAUUCGUAGAUAUUCGCAAGAACACCAGUGGCGAAGGCGGCUCACUGGCCCGGUACUGACGCUGAGGUGCGAAAGCGUGGGGAGCAAACAGG